rnacentral:rRNA from 1 species
GGACGACGCGUGGCGGCGUGGAUUAGGCAUGCAAGUCGAACGGUAUCAUCCUUUCGGGGGUGAGAGAGUGGCGAACUGGUGAGUAACACGUAGGUUAUCUACCCUCAAGACGGGGACAACCCAGGGAAACUUGGGCUAAUACCGGAUGUGAGCAACUUUUAGUUGUUUGAAAGGUGGCGUAAGCUGUCGCUUGGGGAUGAGCCUGCGUCCUAUUAGUUAGUUGGUGAGGUAACGGCUCACCUAGGCAAUGAUAGGUAGGCGGCCUUAACGGGUGGUCGCCCACACUGGGAUUGAGAUACGGCCCAGACUCCUACGGGAGGCAGCAGUCGAGAAUAGUCUACAAUGGUCGGAAGACUGAUAGUGCGACGCCGCGUGAACGAUGAAUCCCUUCGGGGUGUAAAGUUCUUUUCUAUACGAGCAGUGCUAUAUAUAUGGAUAGUAUAUAUAGAGGGAUAGUAGUAUAGGAAUAAGCAACGGCUAACUCCGUG